CUGGCUUAUUUCACUGAGCAUAAUGCCCUCGAGCUCCAUCCAUGUUGUUGCAAAUGGUAGGAUUUGCUUUCUUCUUAUGGCUGAGUAAUAUUCCAUUGUGUAUAUGUACCACAUCUUCUUUAUCCAUUCAUCUACUGAUGGACACUUAGGUUGCUUCCAUUUCUUGGCUAUUGUAAAUAGUGCUGCGAUAAACAUAUGGGUGCAUAUGUCUUUUUCAGACUGGGCUGCUAUAUUCUUAGGGUAAAUUUCUAGGAGUGGAAUUCCUGGGUCAAACGGUAUUUCUAUUUUGAGUUUUGAGAGGCACCUCCAUACUGCUUUCCACAAUGGUUGAACCAAUUUACAUUCCCACCAGCCGAGAAGGAGGGUUCCCCCUUUCUCCACAUCCUCACCAGCAUUUGUUGUUGUUUGUCUUAUGGAUGUUGGCCAUCCUAACUGGUGCGAGGUGAUAUCUCACUGUGGUUUUAAUUUGCAUUUCUUUGAUGAUUAGCGAUGUUGUAGUAAAGUAGAAAAUGUUAAGGCUUGCUCGGGGUCACAUGAGUUCACCAGGCUCAAGGUAUGCACUCCUUUCCCAGAGGAGCUGGCCACUCCUCAGGGAGAAGGGAACAACAACCCUGGGCUGCGUGCCAGCGACACUUGUCCUUGGGCUAUGUGCCCGGGAUAACUACCUUCGGAAACGUGCCCGGGACGUUUCUAUUAACAGCAAGUCGCGAACACGGCCCUGGCUCCUGGCCAGAUCCGGGUCCGAACGUGAAUCAUGCAUGCGCCUACUGGCACUGAGCCUCUUUUGUUUAAACUAGCAUAAAUAUCAACUUAGAGAAACCGUGAGCAGCCUUCCCCCGAUCAUGCUUGGAGUACUGCUGCCUUGUCGUCCUCCCCUGAAACUUGCCCGUGAUGAUUUGUUUUCCGGUACUGAUGAUGGGGUUCUAGUGGCGCUCACGCUAAGAAGACUUCGGUUGAACGUGAGUAUAACGCUGAUGUGGAUUGCUUAGCAGCUAUAGCUGAAGUGGAAUGUUCUACUCCCAUUAGUGAUGAAACAUUAGCACUUGCACGAUGGAUUCAUCACAAGACAGGACAUGCAGGCUCUGCUGCUAUGCACAGAUUAUAUUAUAGACUCCUCUGCUGUGGACACCUGCAAUGAGUAAUGCGUGGACACCUGGAACUCAACUAGGACUGCCAAUCCACUACAACAUUACCAGAGCUGAGUGGCAGUAUGCAUGGAAGAACCUUACUGUACCACGCUCCCAAGAUUCUUUCCAGCGUCGUGCUAACCAACCCUGUUCUAUUGCAAAUGUAACAGUAUCAGCAAAUAGCAAUAUGACUGUAUGGAAAGGAAAUAAGGAAAACCGAUACCGCAUGGUAGUUUCUAGCUCCCCACCUAUUAAUUUUAUUUUUAAAACCAAAGUUAAUGUUACUUGUUGUAGUGCGAAUAUUUCCACUCAUUCAAAUACUUAUACUAGUUUUGUAGCUAGCAUUUUACAGACUGUGCAAUACUGUAAUAAUUCAAAACAUAAUCUGAAUUGAACUGUUAACAGUUCUCAUUUUAUUCUUUGUACUAACACCACUCCAAUCAUAAAUAAGACAUCUUGGGUAGAUUAUAUAUGGGUCUCAGUAAAACAACCCCUGAAGAGUGCCACCCCUCAGAUAGUGCGUAUCCCUAGGACCUGUACCAAUAUCUCUGUUGCUGCACCCCAGAGAGUAAUACAUUUUAACAUUUCUUUUCCCACCUUACCUAAAUUCAACCAUAAAUGCCGUGCUUGGUAUGACACUCUUUUAGGUGGCCUUGGCUCUAGAUUAGGUGUAGAUAAUUCUAUUGAUUUAGAAGCUUUAGCGCAUCGCCUUAAAAAUACUGGAUCAGAUGUAUCCAAAGCUGUGACCUUAAAUGCUAAAUGGUUACCCACUACUAUUAUUCCCCAUGAGCAAACGUUAGCUUAUCAGAAACAGAUGUUGCAUAUCUUUACUGACUCUAGUAUUAAGCAAUAUUGGAUUGAGACUAAUACUACUGCUUUAUUCAGUUGGACUAAAUGUUCCUUGCAAUUAUUGUACACUUUAAUACAAAAAGAAAAUGCACAACGUCUCCUUACGCAAAGUU